GAUUGAGUUUGAUCCUGGCUCAAGAUGAACGCUGGCGGCGUGCCUAACACAUGCAAGUCGAACGGAUCCAUAUUGAAACCUAGUGAUGUAUGGAUUAGUGGCGGACGGGUGAGUAACGCGUGGAUAACCUGCCGUAUACAGGGGGAUAACACUUAGAAAUAGGUGCUAAUACCGCAUAAGCGCACGGUUCCGCAUGGAACAGUGUGAAAAACUCCGGUGGUAUACGAUGGAUCCGCGUCUGAUUAGCCAGUUGGCGGGGUAACGGCCCACCAAAGCGACGAUCAGUAGCCGGCCUGAGAGGGUGAACGGCCACAUUGGGACUGAGACACGGCCCAAACUCCUACGGGAGGCAGCAGUGGGGAAUAUUGCACAAUGGGGGAAACCCUGAUGCAGCGACGCCGCGUGAGUGAAGAAGUAUCUCGGUACGUAAAGCUCUAUCAGCAGGGAAGAAAAUGACGGUACCUGACUAAGAAGCCCCGGCUAACUACGUGCCAGCAGCCGCGGUAAUACGUAAGGGGCAAGCGUUACCCGGAUUUACUGGGUGUAAAGGGAGCGUAGACGGCAGCGCAAGUCUGGAGUGAAAUGCCGGGGCCCAACCCCGGAACUGCUUUGGAAACUGUGCAGCUCGAGUGCANGAGAGGUAAGCGGAA
rnacentral:rRNA from 1 species